UUACCUCCUCCCCCAGGAGCGAGUCACCAAAGAGAUGGUCAAGCGUCGUGUCCCUCUUCGUCACGAAAAAUCGCCAUGGAAACACUGAGCUCCUCUUCUGCCUUAUAUUCUCCAACCAGAAUCCUUCGAUUCCACACUUCUUCCAAAAGUGCGUUGCUUCACUGCCUUCUCUUUCACUCUAAUUUCUAUCCUUUAUUCUUCAUUUUUAUUUAGCAGUAUGAUUCAGGGAAUGAAAUUUUGAUCUUCGAACGAUUCUAGCAUCGUCCCCUUCUUCUGCAAUCCCACCCUGUCCAAGGACGCGGCCCUGGUUAUUGGUUCUGAGUGCUGCUUCUGUCAGAGGCUGGGCUACUGGUUCCGGCAGUUAAGAUUUCUACUCUUGUAAAUAAUAUGGAAUGAAGUAGAAAACAUAAAGGGAAAAAAAGAAAACUCUUGGGAAAUGCUACAAUGGCAUUGUGUUCUAUACACCAAGAUUGGCAGUAACUCAGAAUUAGCCCGGAGUAAUCAAUUUAAGACUCUCAAAAGGCUCCUAUAGUUUCUGAGUUUCAUGCCACAGUAUAAAAUUAUAGCCUACCCCUUAGCAAUCAAAGUGAUACCUUGUGAACUAGAAACAGGGGCCUCGACUUGCUAUGUAGUUAAUACAUCGAGAAUGUUUGUACGAACUCCAAGCACCUUUCCACCUACGUCCGGGAAAUUCUCAUGUCCAGGCAACGUGCUUAGUUUGCCGUUACUAUCUACCUGCAAAGGGUAUCUAAGGAGGUGCCCCUGCAAUGGGGAAAACGUCUCCUCUGUGUAUCUCCUCCAGUUAUCCUCAGCAAUCAUGCUCACUUUCUUCACACAAUCCAAAGUUUCAGGCUCUUCAAACAAUCUAUCAAUGUACCCCAAGUGUUCUGCCCAAAGUGACAUUCUGUAUCCAAAUACCUGGGGAUACAUCACAGUAUCAGUUAACUCCUGUUCUGCUUCAUUUGGCUAAAGCAAGCAGUGUAUGAAUAUGUAAGAGCACAAACCUGGCCUCGUGGAUGCCGCCCCUUAUUGCCCCAUGUGUGACUGGGCUGGUAUGCACCCAUUGCUAUUUCAGUAUCUCUUGAACCAGCCAAAGAUCGUUGAUUAAUAUUGGCUGAACCCAAUAUAACAUAUUCAUCAUCUACUAUCAUUCCCUUGGAAUGUACAUAAAUCAUAAAACGUCGAUAUUUUUGAGAGGCUGAAUCCUGAAAAUUGGUUAUGGAAAAAUUUUCUCAAACUUUAGGAAAGAAAUGUUCAAAUCAGCACAUAAA